rnacentral:rRNA from 1 species
AGUUAGUUGCUUGCAACUAACACGAGUGGCGCACGGGUGAGUAACGCGUACGCGACCUGCCCUCAAGAGGGAAAUAGCCCUGGGAAACCGGGAUUAAUGUCCCAUGUGAUUGUAUUUCUAAGGAAUAUAAUUAAAGGAGAGAUCCGCUUGAGGAUGGGCGUGCGUGCUAUUAGCUAGUUGGUGAGGUAAUGGCUCACCAAGGCGACGAUAGCUAGGGGGCGUGAGAGCGUGACCCCCCACACGGGUACUGAGACACGGACCCGACUCCUACGGGAGGCAGCAGUAAGGAAUAUUGGACAAUGGGGGCAACCCUGAUCCAGCCAUCCCGCGUGCAGGAAGACGGCCCUAUGGGUUGUAAACUGCUUUUAUUAGGGAAGAACAGCAUCAAUGUAUUGGUGUAUGACGGUACCUAAGGAAUAAGCACCGGCUAACUCCGUGCCAGCAGCCGCGGUAAU